UAGGUACUGCGGGUGCUUACACAUGCAGUCGAGCGAUGAAGCCCAGCUUGCUGGGUGGAUUAGUGGCGAACGGGUGAGUAACACGUGAGUAACCUGCCCUUAACUCUGGGAUAAGCCUGGGAAACUGGGUCUAAUACCGGAUAGGAGCGCCUACCGCAUGGUGGGUGUUGGAAAGAUUUAUCGGUUUUGGAUGGACUCGCGGCCUAUCAGCUUGUUGGUGAGGUAAUGGCUCACCAAGGCGACGACGGGUAGCCGGCCUGAGAGGAUACGGCACACUGCGACUGAGACCGGACAGACUCCUACGGGAGGCAGCAGUGGAAAUUUGCACAAUGGCCGCAAGCCUGAUGCAGCGACGCCGCUGAGGGAUGAAGCCUUCGGGUUGUAAACCUCUUUCAGUAGGGAAGAAGCGAAAGUGACGGUACCUGCAGAAGAAGCACCCACUAACUACGUGCCAGCAGCCGCGGUAAUACGUAGGGUGCGACCGUCAUCCGGAAUUAUUGGGCGUAAAGAGCUCGUAGCGGGUUGUCGCGUCUGUCGUGAAAGUCCGGGGCUUAACCCCGGAUCUGCGGUGGGUACGGGCAGACUAGAGUGCAGUAGGGGAGACUGGAAUUCCUGGUGUAGCGGUGGAAUGCGCAGAUAUCACGAGGAACACCGAUGGCGAAGGCAGGUCUCUGGGCUGUAACUGACGCUGAGGAGCGAAAGCAUGGGGAGCGAACAGGAUUAGAUACCCUGGUAGUCCAUGCCGUAACGUUGGGCACUAGGUGUGGCGACCAUUCCACGGUUUCCGCGCCGCAGCUAACGCAUUAAGUGCCCCGCCUGGGGAGUACGGCCGCAAGGCUAAAACUCAAAGGAAUUGACAGGGGCCCGCACAAGCGGCGGAGCAUGCGGAUAAUUCGAUGCAACGCGAAGAACCGUACCAAGGCUUGACAUGUUCUCGAUCGCCGUAAAGAUACGGUUUCCCCUUUGGCGCGGGUUCACAGGUGGUGCAUGAUUGUCGUCAGCUCGUGUCGUGAGAUGCUGGGUUAAGUCCCGCAACGAGCGCAACCCUCGUUCCAAGUUGCCAGCACGUAAUGGUGGGGACUCAUGGGAGACUGCGGGAUCAACUCGCAGGAAGGUGAGGACGACGUCAAAUCAUCAUGCCCUAGGCAUACCCUCACGCAUGCUACAAUGGACGCAUGCGUACGAUACUGUGAGGUGGAGCUAAUCCCAAAAAGCCGGUCUCAGUUCGGAUUGGGGUCUGCAACUCGACCCCAUGAAGUCGGAGUCGCUAGUAAUCGCAGAUCAGCAACGCUGCGGUGAAUACGUUCCCGGGCCUUGUACACACCGCCCGUCAAGUCACGAAAGUCGGUAACACCCGAAGCCGGUGGCCUAACCCUUGUGGAGGAGCCGUCGAAGGUGACCCCAAGUUU
rnacentral:rRNA from 1 species